GUUUCAGGGCGGGGUGAAAGUCCCCACUGGCGGUAAGGGGCCAUUCCCCAAGCCCGCGAGCUUUUUGCUGAUUUGGUGCGAUUCCAAAGCCAACGGUACAGUCCGGAUGAAAGAAA
rnacentral:ncRNA from 1 species